rnacentral:rRNA from 1 species
UUAUCAGAAGUGCGAAUGCUGACGUGAGUAACGACAAAACGGGUGAAAAACCCGUUCGCCGAAAGACCAAGGGUUCCAGUCCAACGUUAAUCGGGGCUGGGUGAGUCGACCCCUAAGGCGAGGCCGAAAGGCGUAGUCGAUGGGAAAAUGGUUAAUAUUCCAUUACUUCUGUGUAAUGCGAUGAGAGGACGGAGAAGGCUAAAUCAGCCUGGCGUUGGUUGUCCAGGUGAAAGGAUGUAGGCAUGUAUCUUAGGCAAAUCCGGGGUACUCUAUGCUGAGAUCUGAUAGCAAGCUGUACUUGUACAGCGAAGUGGUUGAUGCCAUGCUUCCAGGAAAAGUCUCUAAGCUUCAGUUACACAGGAAUCGUACCCGAAACCGACACAGGUGGUCAGGUCGAGUAGACCAAGGCGCUUGAGAGAACUCUGCUGAAGGAACUAGGCAAAAUGGUACCGUAACUUCGGGAGAAGGUACGCUGUUGUUGGUGAUGGAACUCGCUUCCUGAGCUGACGACAGCCGCAGAAACCAGGCCGCUGCAACUGUUUAUUAAAAACAUAGCACUCUGCAAACACGAAAGUGGACGUAUAGGGUGUGAUGCCUGCCCGGUGCUGGAAGGUUAAUUGAUGGGGUUAGCGUAAGCGAAGCUCUUGAUCGAAGCCCCAGUAAACGGCGGCCGUAACUAUAACGGUCCUAAGGUAGCGAAAUUCCUUGUCGGGUAAGUUCCGACCUGCACGAAUGGCAUAAUGAUGGCGGCGCUGUCUCCAGCAGAGGCUCAGUGAAAUCGAAAUCGCUGUGAAGAUGCAGUGUACCCGCGGCUAGACGGAAAGACCCCGUGAACCUUUACUGCAGCUUGACACUGAACUUUGACCUUACUUGUGUAGGAUAGGUGGGAGGCUUUGAAGCUGGAACGCUAGUUCCAGUGGAGCCGUCCUUGAAAUACCACCCUGGUAAUGUUGAGGUUCUAACUCUGUCCCGUGAUCCGGGACGAGGACCGUGUCUGGUGGGUAGUUUGACUGGGGCGGUCUCCUCCUAAAGAGUAACGGAGGAGUACGAAGGUGCGCUCAGCGUGGUCGGAAAUCACGCGUAGAGUAUAAAGGCAAAAGCGCGCUUAACUGCGAGACCCACAAGUCGAGCAGGUACGAAAGUAGGUCUUAGUGAUCCGGUGGUUCUGUAUGGAAGGGCCAUCGCUCAACGGAUAAAAGGUACUCUGGGGAUAACAGGCUGAUACCGCCCAAGAGUUCAUAUCGACGGCGGUGUUUGGCACCUCGAUGUCGGCUCAUCUCAUCCUGGGGCUGAAGCAGGUCCCAAGGGUAUGGCUGUUCGCCAUUUAAAGAGGUACGCGAGCUGGGUUUAGAACGUCGUGAGACAGUUCGGUCCCUAUCUACCGUGGGCGCUGGAAAUUUGAGAGGAUCUGCUCCUAGUACGAGAGGACCAGAGUGGACGAACCUCUGGUGUACCGGUUGUGACGCCAGUCGCAUCGCCGGGUAGCUAUGUUCGGAAGGGAUAACCGCUGAAAGCAUCUAAGCGGGAAGCCUACCUCAAGAUAAGAUUUCCCUAGGACUUUAUGUCCUCUAAAGAGCCGUUCGAGACUAGGACGUUGAUAGGUUGGAUGUGGAAGCAUAGUGAUAUGUGAAGCUGACCAAUACUAAUUGCUCGUGAGGCUUGACUA